AACGAACGCUGGCGGCAUGCCUAACACAUGCAAGUCGAACGAGACCUUCGGGUCUAGUGGCGCACGGGUGCGUAACGCGUGGGGACCUGCCCUUAGGUUCGGAAUAACUCCCCGAAAGGGGUGCUAAUACCGGAUAAUGUCUUCGGACCAAAGAUUUAUCGCCUUUGGAUGGGCCCGCGUUGGAUUAGCUAGUUGGUAGGGUAAAAGCCUACCAAGGCGACGAUCCAUAGCUGGUCUGAGAGGAUGAUCAGCCACACUGGGACUGAGACACGGCCCAGACUCCUACGGGAGGCAGCAGUGGGGAAUAUUGGACAAUGGGCGAAAGCCUGAUCCAGCAAUGCCGCGUGAGUGAUGAAGGCCUUAGGGUUGUAAAGCUCUUUUACCCGGGAUGAUAAUGACAAUACCGGGAGAAUAAGCUCCGGCUAACUCCGUG
rnacentral:rRNA from 1 species